rnacentral:rRNA from 1 species
GUCUACGGCCAUACCACCCUGAAUGCUCCCGAUCUCGUCUGAUAUCGGAAGCUAAGCAGGGUCGGGCCUGGUUAGUACUUGGAUGGGAAACUAAUCACUUAAUGAUGACUUCAUUGGAU